ACAGAAAUUACAUUGAUGAUUGUGGAUAACUCUGUGCGUAAAAAGGUAUAAAGCGGGGUUUUGCUGGGGAAUGCAGCAGUCAGUCAUUUUUCUGCAAUUUUUCUAUUGCGGCCUGCGGAGAACUCCCUAUAAUGCGCCUCCAUCGACACGGCGGAUGUGAAUCACUUCACACAAACAGCCGGUUCGGUUGAAGAGAAAAAUCCUGAAAUUCAGGGUUGACUCUGAAAGAGGAAAGCGUAAUAUACGCCACCUCGCGACAGUGCGCUAAAGCGCGUCGCAACUGCUCUUUAACAAUUUAUCAGACAAUCUGUGUGGGCAC
rnacentral:rRNA from 1 species